UAAUACGGAGGGUGCAAGCGUUGUCCGGAUUUAUUGGGUUUAAAGGGUACGUAGGCGGCCAAUUAAGUCAGUGGUGAAAGCCAGCAGCUCAACUGUUGAACUGCCAUUGAUACUGAUUGGCUCGAGUUCUAUUAAGGUAGGCGGAAUUGAUGGUGUAGCGGUGAAAUGCAUAGAUACCAUCAGGAACACCGAUUGCGAAGGCAGCUUACUAGGCAGAAACUGACGCUAAUGUACGAAAGCGUGGGGAUCGAACAGGAUUAGAUACCCUGGUAGUCCACGCCGUAAACGAUGCUCACUCGCUGUUGGCGAUACACAGUCAGCGGCCAAGCGAAAGCGUUAAGUGAGCCACCUGGGGAGUACGCUCGCAAGAGUG
rnacentral:rRNA from 1 species